GACGAACGCUGGCGGCGUGCCUAAUACAUGCAAGUCGAGCGAAGAAUUUCUGGUUGUUGCACCGGAGGAACUUAGCGACGAAUGGGUGAGUAACACGUAAAGAACCGUGGUCAUAGUGUGGGACAAAGAUGGGAAACGGUAGCUAAUGGCGGAUAAUAGCACUAAAUGGAUGGGAGAUGUUUAAAAGUUGGUGUUGCAAACACUAUGAGUUGGCUUUGCGGUGCAUUGGCUAGUUGGUGGGGUAAAGGACUGCCAAGGCGACGAUGGAUAGCCGACCUGAGAGGGUGGUCGGCUAGCCGGGGAGUGAGACACGGCCCAGACUCCUACGGUAGGCCGCAGUACGGAAUCUUACGCGAUGGGGGAAAGGCUGACGGAGCAAAGCGGCGUGAGUGAAGAAGGAGUUACGUUCGGAAAGCGAUGUAGUUAGGGAAGAAUGAUUGUGUAAUAACCAGACACGGUAGAGACGGUACCUAACCAGAAAGCCCCGGCUAACUACGUG
rnacentral:rRNA from 1 species